AAACCAACUGGGAUUACCUUAGUAACGGCGAGUGAAGCGGUAAAAGCUCAAAUUUGAAAUCUGGUACUUUCAGUGCCCGAGUUGUAAUUUGUAGAAUUUGUCUUUGAUUAGGUCCUUGUCUAUGUUCCUUGGAACAGGACGUCAUAGAGGGUGAGAAUCCCGUUUGGCGAGGAUACCUUUUCUCUGUAAGACUUUUUCGAAGAGUCGAGUUGUUUGGGAAUGCAGCUCAAAGUGGGUGGUAAAUUCCAUCUAAAGCUAAAUAUUGGCGAGAGACCGAUAGCGAACAAGUACAGUGAUGGAAAGAUGAAAAGAACUUUGAAAAGAGAGUGAAAAAGUACGUGAAAUUGUUGAAAGGGAAGGGCAUUUGAUCAGACAUGGUGUUUUUUUAAUGUGCAAGUCUCUCGUGGACAUGUGCCUCUGGAAAUUAACACUGGGCCAACAUCAGUUCUGGCGGCAGGAUAAAUCAUUAAGAAUGUAGCUACCUCGGUAGUGUUAUAGCUUUUUGGAAUACUGCCAGCUGGGAUUGAGGACUGCGCUUCGGCAAGGAUGUUGGCAUAAUGGUUAAAUGCCGC
rnacentral:rRNA from 3 species